AGCAGCCGCGGUAAUUCCAGCUCCAAUAGCGUAUAUUAAAGUUGUUGCAGUUAAAAAGCUCGUAGUUGAAUUUCGGGAUCAGUAGGUUGGUCAUGCCUCUGGUAUGUACUGGCCUCACUGGUUCCUCCUUCCUGAUGAACCGUAAUGCCAUUAAUUUGGUGUUGCGGGGAAACUGGACUGUUACUUUGAAAAAUUAGAGUGUUUAAAGCAGGCUAACGCUUGAAUACAUUAGCAUGGAAUAAUGAAAUAGGACGAUCGAUCCUAUUUUGUUGGUUUCUAGGAUUGACGUAAUGAUUAAUAGGGAUAGUUGGGGGCAUUAGUAUUCAAUUGUCAGAGGUGAAAUUCUUGGAUUUAUUGAAGACUAACUACUGCGAAAGCAUUUGCCAAGGAUGUUUUCAUUAAUCAAGAACGAAAGUUAGAGGAUCGAAGACGAUCAGAUACCGUCGUAGUCUUAACCAAUAAACUAUGCCGACUAGGAUCGGAUGAUGUUAAUUUUAUAAUGACUC
rnacentral:rRNA from 1 species